AGUGAACGCUGGCGGUAGGCCUAACACAUGCAAGUCGAACGGCUGCACAGGAGAGCUUGCUCUCUGGGUGGCGAGUGGCGGACGGGUGAGGAAUACAUCGGAAUCUACUCUGUCGUGGGGGAUAACGUAGGGAAACUUACGCUAAUACCGCAUACGACCUACGGGUGAAAGCAGGGGACCUUCGGGCCUUGCGCGAUUGAAUGAGCCGAUGUCGGAUUAGCUAGUUGGCGGGGUAAAGGCCCACCAAGGCGACGAUCCGUAGCUGGUCUGAGAGGAUGAUCAGCCACACUGGAACUGAGACACGGUCCAGACUCCUACGGGAGGCAGCAGUGGGGAAUAUUGGACAAUGGGCGCUAGCCUGAUCCAGCCAUACCGCGUGGGUGAAGAAGGCCUUCGGGUUGUAAAGCCCUUUUGUUGGGAAAGAAAUCCAGCUGGCUAAUACCCGGUUGGGAUGACGGUACCCAAAGAAUAAGCACCGGCUAACUUCGUGCCAGCCGCCGCAGUAA
rnacentral:rRNA from 1 species